UUGCACGCUGGCGGCAUGCUUUACACAUGCCAGUCGGACGGCAGCACAGAGAAGCUUGCUUCUUGGGUGGCGAGUGGCGAACGGGUGAGUAACAUAUCGGAACGUACCGAGCAGUGGGGGAUAACUAAUCGAAAGAUUAGCUAAUACCGCAUAUCUUCUGAGGAAGAAAGCAGGGGACCAUUUGGCCUUGCGCUGUUUGAGCGGCCGAUAUCUGAUUAGCUAGUUGGUGGGGUAAAGGCCUACCAAGGCGACGAUCAGUAGCGGGUCUGAGAGGAUGAUCCGCCACACUGGGACUGAGACACGGCCCAGACUCCUACGGGAGGCAGCAGUGGGGAAUUUUGGACAAUGGGCGCAAGCCUGAUCCAGCCAUGCCGCGUGUCUGAAGAAGGCCUUCGGGUUGUAAAGGACUUUUGUCAGGGAAGAAAAGGGCGGGGUUAAUACCCCUGUCUGAUGACGGUACCUGAAGAAUAAGCACCGGCUAACUACGUG
rnacentral:rRNA from 1 species